GCUCAAUCCCACGACCCUGGCUGGGAUCAUAACCUGAGCCGAAAUCAAGAGUCAGACUCUGAACCGACUGAACUACCCAGGCAUCCCACAGCAUUAUUGAAACAGUGAAAAAUCAAUAAUAAUCUAAAGGCCAGGCUGAAUAAUAUAAGAAUGAAUCAAUUAAUUAUGGAACAGAACAUAGAAUGUUACAGUCUCUAAGCUGCUGAUUUGGAAGUGCUCUUAAAUGAGAACAUUCUCCAAAGUACAUUCUUAUACUAUGUAUAUAGUAUGAUUCUAAUUUUGUAUCCUGUUUAUGUAUAUAUAAACUCAGACUCAUUUAUUUUUUAUAUAUUAUACACAUUUACCUAUACUAUAUAGAAACUAAAUGAUAAUCUUGUAAAUUAUAGCUAUUUUUCUUCUUUAAAACUUCUUUUUAGAUGUUCUCAGGUACUGAAAAUAUCAGUGAUGAUAUGGAAUGUCAUUGGAGAACAGUCCCUCUGAGUUCCAUGUGUCUACUCUUGUAUCUCAGUCCUUCCUUUCAUUGCCAAGUUCUUUGAAAUAGGGCCAUGCUCACUGUACUCACUUGUUCCGUCUCCAUUCACUCCUCAUGCUGUGGUUAUUCCCCCACUUUUGUCCUAAUAUUGCUAUUAAGAAGAGCCUCAGUCUCCUAAUUUUCAAAUUAAAUUUCCACCUCUAGGUCCUUCCUUGAACCCAAGACAUUUUACACUGUUCUCCAUCAUUUAAUUCUCCAAAAUCUGUACUCCUUUGCUCUCCAGGGCACUUGACCUCUCCUGGGUUUCCUCCCAGCCCGGGGUUUCUUCUCCAGCCCUUCCCAUUCAAGGGGGUCCAUCCGUGCUUGUUUUUCUUCUCAUGUUGCGCACAGUAUCGGAAUUUUUAGUUCCAGUGGAAGAUUUACCAUGAAGCCCGUAAAGUUCAUCCUGUGGCCUCUCACUUGCAACUUGGAUGGGCAACUCGGAAGGUCCUGGGAAGGACCUUAGUAUUAAAGUAUUAAGUAUGACUUUCAUACAGAUAUAAAGUAAACGUAUCAAAGAUUUCAUUUUAAGCGUAAUGGGGGAACCGGGCAGAUGUUAUAUGUGGUUCAAAGGAAAAAACAACAGACACAUUUAUAGAUCAGAAAUACUGAAAUGAAGGUACAAAUGGAGACAAAGGGCCCCGCACGGGGCAGGAUUGGUUUGCAUUUCAACAUAUAAAAAUUAUCUUGCCUUGCUAUCAGUUGUCUACAAUUCAGCCUUGUUAAGUAGCUCCUGUACAAUCAGAAUCAGCUGAUGCAAAAGACGUGUUGUGAGCAAUAGUUUUCUAUGAAGCACGGAUUUUUCUCUCCGGUACAGCAGUCUACACACAACAGUCAUAUUUAAUAAAACAGACGACAGUAAGAUACCUAACUACACUUGGUUAAGGCUGCUCCCUUCCCACUUGGAGUCGGCACAUCUCAUGUCAGAAGCUCAGGGGUGGCCACGGAGGUUUUGGGGGACCCAACUCAGGGAAUAUUGAGGUAGGGAUACACUUAGAUCGGAUUUGACAGGAUAUAUUGAUGUGGUCCCUCAUCACUGUCGUGGUAGACGAACGGCUUCCGGCAAUAGUCUUACUUACCUACCCUGAAGCAAAGGUGCAGGGUCCAACCCGGAAUUCAGAAUAUUCCAUGGCAACAUCAACAACCCAUUUGCCACCGACUGUCACCAACUUAAAUAAUCUUGAAGAUCCUCAGAAUUUACCCCUCAAAUGAAAGAAGCAUGAUACAGGGGUUUUUGUUUUGUUAUUUUUUUCAUAUUUGACAGCAAUUUGACAAAUCUCGAGUAUUUGCAAGACACAUUAUAAGGUAUAAGCUGUGGUGCUGAAAGAAAUUUAUUUUUUUCUUUUUGUUAAAUCUUUAUUUUUGGGAGAGAGACAGAGUGUGAGCUGGGGAGGGGCAGAGAGAGAGGGAGACAGAAUUGGAAGCAGGCUCCAGGCUCUGAGCUGUUAGCACAGAACCUGACACGGGGCUCGAACCCACAAGCCGUGAGACCAUGACCUGAGCUGAAGUCGGACGCUUUACUGACUGAGCCACCCAGGUGCCCCUGAAAGAAAUUUUUCUAGAUUAUCAGUAAUGAAAAAGUUUUGACCAACCAUGCUGGAAGGAGGAUUGAACUACCUCUCUAUUCUCUCCGUAGAAAACAUUUUAAACAUUGUUAAAUGAAGAAGGAAUCGGAGUAUAUGCAGCAAAAACAAAAAACAAAAAAAACAUACGGGUUUUUAUAAAAACACUGCGAACAAUACAAAUGAUGUAUUUGGAGGAUUUUGUGACGUUUGUGGCAUUUUUCAGCUUUUUCAAAUUCAUAAUUUAUUAUGAUUUCCUGUAACAUGCUAAAGAAAUAUUUCUUUUUUGAGAGAGAAAGAGAGCACAAGGUGGGGAGGAGAGAGGGAGAGAGAGAGAGAAGAGAAUUUCAAGUGGCUUCCAAGCUCAGUGCGGAGCCCGACGUGGGGCUCUAUCUCGCAGCCAUGCGAUCACGACCUGAGCCAAAAUCCAGAGUCAGAUGCUCAACCGACUGAGCCGCCCGGGCCCCGCAAGAAAUAUUUCCUUAUAACCUAAUUUUGUACUUGUAGUUUUGUAUUUUUUUCUCUUAAAGAGGGCCCCCCAAUUGAACAAACUUCAGACCUACAAACCUACGUCCGACGCUGACCUCCAAAUGGAAUCAUACGGGGAGGCAGAUGGCUGAUGUCGAAGAGCGAGGCAAUGAGGAGAGACCCCUUUUCUGAGCUGCACAGGCCAAAGCCAAGGCCGUCCCAUCCUGGACACUAUCAUUCUCUACUUCAGCCCACCGGGCCCUGGCAUCUCACCCCGGGUUGUUCUCGUAUUUAUUUCAGCCAGUGUGAUAUAAAAGGAAGAAACUUUGA